rnacentral:rRNA from 1 species
UACGUAGGGGGCAAGCGUUAUCCGGAUUUACUGGGUGUAAAGGGAGCGUAGACGGUUAUGCAAGUCAGAAGUGAAAGCCCAAAGCUCAACUUCGGGACUGCUUUUGAAACUGUGUAACUAGAGUGCAGGAGGGGUAAGCGGAAUUCCUAGUGUAGCGGUGAAAUGCGUAGAUAUUAGGAGGAACACCAGUGGCGAAGGCGGCUUACUGGACUGUAACUGACGUUGAGGCUCGAAAGCGUGGGGAGCAAACAGG